rnacentral:rRNA from 1 species
UACGAAGGGGGCUAGCGUUGUUCGGAUUUACUGGGCGUAAAGCGCACGUAGGCGGAUCGUUAAGUCGGGGGUGAAAUCCUGGAGCUCAACUCCAGAACUGCCUUCGAUACUGGCGAUCUUGAGUCCGGAAGAGGUGAGUGGAACUCCUAGUGUAGAGGUGGAAUUCGUAGAUAUUAGGAAGAACACCAGUGGCGAAGGCGGCUCACUGGUCCGGGUACUGACGCUGAGGCGCGACAGCGUGGGGAGCAACAGG